rnacentral:rRNA from 1 species
GGAUGUUGGCUUAGAAGCAGCCACCAUUUAAAGAGUGCGUAAUAGCUCACUAGUCGAGUGAUCCUGCGCCGAAAAUGUAACGGGGCUAAACACAUUACCGAAAUCGUGGAUGUACCUUAGGGUACAUGGUAGGAGAGCGUUCUAAGGACGGCGAAGCUAGACCGUAAGGACUGGUGGAGUGCUUAGAAGUGAGAAUGCCGGUAUGAGUAGCGAAAGAUCAGUGAGAAUCUGGUCCACCGUAUGACUAAGGUUUCCU